AACUACUCCACAGUUUAACCUGC
rnacentral:piRNA from 1 species